AGAGUUUGAUCCUGGCUCAGGAUGAACGCUGGCGGUCUGCUUAACACAUGCAAGUCGAACGGACUCUUCGGAGUUAGUGGCGGACGGGUGAGUAACGCGUGAGAAUCUACCUUCAGGACGGAGACAACAGUUGGAAACGACUGCUAACCCCCGAUGAACCGAAAGGGCAAAUAUUUAUAGCCUGAAGAAGAGCUCGCGUCCGAUUAGCUAGUUGGAGAGGUAAAAGCUCACCAAGGCGACGAUCGGUAGCUGGUCUGAGAGGACGAUCAGCCACACUGGGACUGAGACACGGCCCAGACUCCUACGGGAGGCAGCAGUGGGGAAUUUUCCGCAAUGGGCGCAAGCCUGACGGAGCAAGACCGCGUGGGGGAGGAAGGCUCUUGGGUUGUAAACCCCUUUUCUCUGGGAAGAACAAAAUGACGGUACCAGUGAAUCAGCUCCGAUAGUUC
rnacentral:rRNA from 1 species